rnacentral:rRNA from 1 species
GACGAACGCUGGCGGCGUGCUUAACACAUGCAAGUCGAACGGGAUCCAUUGCGAGCUUGCUCAAGAGAAGAUCUAGUGGCGAACGGGUGCGUAACACGUGAGAAACCUGUCCCGGACUUGGGAAUAACAGUCGGAAACGACUGCUAAUACCGAAUACCUUCGUAGCGUCGCAUGGCGCAUCGAAGAAAGCUUUUGCGGUUUGGGAGGGUCUCGCGGCCUAUCAGCUAGUUGGUGAGGUAACGGCUCACCAAGGCAUCGACGGGUAGCUGGUCUGAGAGGAUGAUCAGCCACACUGGGACUGAGACACGGCCCAGACUCCUACGGGAGGCAGCAGUGGGGAAUCUUAGACAAUGGGGGAAACCCUGAUCUAGCCAUGCCGCGUGAUCGAUGAAGGCCUUAGGGUUGUAAAGAUCUUUCAGUUGGGAAGAUAAUGACGGUACCAACAGAAGAAGCCCCGGCUAACUCCGUGCCAGCCGCCGCGGUAAUAC